UCCCCUGUAGUUCAGUCGGCAGAACGACGCCCUGUUAAGGCGGAUGUCCCAGGUUCGAGUCCUGGUGGGGGAG
rnacentral:tRNA from 1 species